GGGCGGUUGGCUCAGGGGUUAGAGCGCUUGCUUCACACGCAAGAGGUCGCAGGUUCGAUUCCUGCACCGCCCA
rnacentral:tRNA from 1 species